UUUCCAAAACUUGUCUCGGGUGACGAGCGGCGGACGGGUGAGUAAUGUCUGGGAAACUGCCUGAUGGAGGGGGAUAACUACUGGAAACGGUAGCUAAUACCGCAUAAUGUCGCAAGACCAAAGUGGGGGACCUUCGGGCCUCAUGCCAUCAGAUGUGCCCAGAUGGGAUUAGCUAGUAGGUGGGGUAACGGCUCACCUAGGCGACGAUCCCUAGCUGGUCUGAGAGGAUGACCAGCCACACUGGAACUGAGACACGGUCCAGACUCCUACGGGAGGCAGCAGUGGGGAAUAUUGCACAAUGGGCGCAAGCCUGAUGCAGCCAUGCCGCGUGUGUGAAGAAGGCCUUCGGGUUGUAAAGCACUUUCAGCGGGGAGGAAGGCGAUAAGGUUAAUAACCUUGUCGAUUGACGUUACCCGCAGAAGAAGCACCGGCUUAACUCCGUGCCAGCAGGCGGGGUAAUACGGGAGGGUGCAAGCGUUUAUUCGGGAAUUACUGGGCGUAAAGCGCACGCAGGCGGUCUGUCAAGUCGGAUGUGAAAUCCCCGGGCUCAACCUGGGAACUGCAUUCAAACUGGCAGGCUAAGAGUCUUGUAAAGGGGGGUAGAAUUCCAGUGUAGGGUAAAUGCGUAAGAUCUUGGAGGAAUACGGUGCGAAGGCGGCCCUGGAACAAGACUGACAGCUCAGGUUCAAAAGCGUGGGAACAAACAGGGAUUAAUCCUGGUAUUCACCCAAAAUUUAUAUGGGUUUUCCCUUUGGGGUUUUCGGAUACGCCUUAUAUCACCCCUGGGAGUUNGCGCCGGGUUAACACCAAU
rnacentral:rRNA from 1 species